rnacentral:lncRNA from 1 species
GCUUAUACAAACUCAACAUUAAACCCUGUUGCUACAAUCACAUUCCAAGGAACAAUAAUUGGAGAUAAAAAUGCUCCAAUAAUUGCUGCAUUUUCUUCUCGGGGACCAAGUAUAGCUAGUCCUGGAAUCUUGAAACCUGACAUAAUCGGUCCGGGUGUUAAUAUCCUUGCUGCUUGGCCUACCUCCGUGGAUGACAACAAGAACACCAAAUCCACAUUCAAUAUUAUAUCAGGCACCUCAAUCCCUUGUCCUCACCUUAGUGGUGUAGCAGCUCUGCUGAAGAGCGCACAUCCUGAUUGGUCUCCUGCUGCUAUUAAAUCUGCAAUCAUGACAACCGCUUACACGUUAAACCUUGCCAAUAGUCCAAUACUAGACGAAAGGCUCCUUCCUGCUGACAUUUUUGCAAUUGGUGCAGGACAUGUUAAUCCAUCGAGGGCAAAUGAUCCAGGACUAGUUUAUGAUACCCCAUUUGAGGACUAUGUACCUUAUUUCUGUGGUUUAAACUACAGCAAUCAAGAGGUAGGUAAAUUAUUACAACGUCAGGUGAAUUGUUUGAAGGUGAAAAGUAUCCCUGAAGCACAAUUAAACUAUCCUUCAUUUUCCAUAUUCAGACUUGGAUCAACUCCUCAAACAUAUACCAGAACGGUGACCAACGUUGGUGAUGCGACAUCAUCUUACAAAGUGGAGGUAGCUUCACCAAAAGGAGUUGUCGUGGAAGUUAAACCCACAGAGCUAAAUUUCUCCGAGUUGAACCAGAAGUUAACAUACCAAGUGACAUUUUCCAAGACAACCAACAACUCAAACUUUGUGAUUGUUGGGGGUUUCUUGAAGUGGACUUCUAAUAGGCACUCAGUGAGAAGUCCAAUUGCAAUUGUGUUAGACAAGUGAUAAAUUGGCUAUAUAAGUGCAUAAGUACUCAGACAUUUGAUUAUAGUGAAAAUGUUGUUUGUUUACACAAUAAACUUUAUGUUACUUUUUCAUUAUUAAAUGUAUUGUUUCAAUAAACUUUAUGUGAUUGAAGAAUGCAAAAGCAUAUCCUCUUUGAUAUUAGUGACUAUGCCCUGCUCAACUUAUUAAUAAGACAAGAAAAAUAAUAGAUCUUUCCUAUGAAUUUCCUGGAAAAAAUGUUACGUUGUAAUUAAUUCAAUGAACUACUUUUAUUUUUUUAACAUGUAGUGGCCAAUUGAAAAAUCUAUAGCCAACCUAUACAUGUCAAAAGACCAAGUCCAAAUUCUACAAUUGAAGGGGACCAAUGUAUAUCAUCCAUGGUACAUGUUUGUCUUGCAAAGAAAUUAAAUUAACCAACUUUAGUUUUGUUAUAAUUUUCACAAAAAAACAAGAAUUAUGGAAAGCAUGGUUGCUAUUUGUGUGUGGCCAAUUAUGUAUUGGUGGCAUUAUUAUAAUUAGAAAUGAAUUUUGCCCUACCUAAACCCUUACAACUACUUAAUAGAGUAAGGAUUGUUCAAAUCCGUAUCACGAGAUAUUCUCAUUCUUAAUUAGCCCCUUUCUGCACGUCCAGUGAAAUGGAAUGAAUCAAGAAUUAGGAUGAAUAUGACUCUAAUAUAAUAAGAAAUGAAUUUGCCCUACCUAAGCCCUUACAACUAGUUAAUAGAGUAAGGAUUGUUCAAAUCCACAUAAAGAGAUAUUCUCAUUCUUAAUUAACCCUUUCUGCAUGCCUAAUGAAAUUGAAUGAAUCAAGAAUUAGAAUGGAUUUGACUCUAAUAUCAUGAUAAGAAGAUGAACUUAUCUUAGUCCUAACUCAGCCUCAAAAUAGCACAUGAGGAGACAGUGCCCAAGAUCAUAAAAGAAGGGCUUCUAACGGUACAUCCGUCAAAAAAAAUUCCAACUAAAAUGGUCGUAUGUAUAUGCAAUGUAUUAAUAUUGUAUAAAGGCCUAACCCAUCAGUGGCCCACUAAAGUUGACACCAAUUUUUCCCUUAGACACCUUAACUAAGCUUUGUUCAUUUUAGACACCUCAUGUCAUGCCCCGUUGUGUCAUUUUGACACUUUUUACUGACAUGGCAUAGUGAGUGUAAUACACUCAAUACCAGCGCGUGAAAGGCUCAUUUAAUAUUUUUAUUUUAUUUUUUUUCAUUUUCUUCCUUAUUUUUCAGCCACCAUCUCUCAAAACUUGAACUCUUUCCAUGGAGAAAUAGUUUUUGAUGAUGCUACAGACAAAUAAAACGAAUUUCAACACGAAGGGAUUUCACAAAAAAAUAAAUUUCAACACAUUAGAAGGGCUACGAUUCAUGUUUUCGCAAAGAAGAAAGGCAAAGAACAAUGUGUUUUCUUGAAUCUCAACCAACCCAAAUCUUCUCUAAACAUUGACUCAACACUUUACGAAAGCAAAUAAUUUUAUACGUAUCGUGUCGCAAAAAAAAAGGAAAAACAAACAGAAAAAAGACAAUUACACAAUAAUCGAUUGAAUUCAUUGUUUACUUUCCUUUUUUGAUAUACAUAUAUUAUAUAUUGAUUAUACACUUAUUAUUCAUGAAUUAAAUACAUAUAUUAUAUAUCCGUCCACUAAUUUUAAUUUAUGUCCUUGGAUGGAUGUCUAUUAAGUUGAUUUAACAAUAUAUUUUUCAAGCAGCCCAUGUUGGUCCUUUGUGCCCCCACAAGGAAUCAAGUGGAUUGAAAAUAAAUAUAUAAAUAUGGAUUUCCACAUAUAAAAACGCAGCACCACAUACUUAAAUUUGGAAAAUUUGUUGUCACCUAUAUAAUAUAGCAUCCUUUGAUCCAGAAUCUUGACAGUGGCUUCAAAAAUAAAGUCUUAGUCUUUGGUAACUUCAAAAAGUAAUUGUGACAUUAAUGCUAAACUUAUUAAUAAGACAAGAAAAAUAAUAGACAUUUCCUAUGAAUUUCCUGGAAAAAACGUUACGUUGUAAUUAAUUUGAAUGAAUGUCUUUUAUUUUUUAACAUAUAGUGGCCAAUCGAGAAAUCUAUAGCCAACUAUACAUGUCAAAAAACUAAGUCCAAAUUCUACAAUUGAAGGGGACCAAUGUAUAUCAUCCAUGGUACGUGUUUGUCUUGCAAAGAAAUUAAACUAACCAACUUUAGUUUAGUUAUAAUUUACACAAAAAAAAAACAAGAAUUAUGGAAAGCAUUGUUGCUAUUUGUGUGUGGCCAAUUAUGUAUUGGUGGCAUUAUUAUAAUAAGAAAUGAAUUUACCCUACCUAAACCCUUACAACUAGUUAAUAGAGUAAGGAUUCUUCAAAUCCGUAUAAAGAGAUAUUCUCAUUCUUAAUUAGCCCCUUUCGGCAUGUCCAGUGAAAUGGAAUGAAUCAAGAAUUAGGACGAAUAUGGCUCUAAUAUAAUAAGAAAUGAAUUUACCCUACCUAAACCCUUACAAAUAGUUAAUAGAAUAAGGAUUGUUCAAAUUCAUACAAAGAGAUUCUCAUUCUAAUACUCGGCCUCAAAAUAGCUCAUGAGGAGGAGGGGAUUCUUAUGUAAAUUUACAUCUGACAAAAAUGUUAUCUCCUGUAUUCAGGUUAGCAAAAUCUUAAAAAGAAAAAGAUGAAAUAGACAGAAAAUAAAUAAUCCGAGUUCACAGAACCCACUGUGUUUUCUUAAGAAAUUUAAUCCCCUCAAGUAUCCGAGAUUGUAGAUUAAUUCCUCCCAAGAUAAAACGGAUUAACUAUUAGAGAAAUAGUAGUUCCUCAAACUUCAAUAAUUUCAGCGAACUCAAGAACAACAACGAGAGAACACACAGACUCAGUUGAUCGACAAUUUGAUUUGUAAGAAAAUGUAUGCAGAGAGAAAAAAAUUCAGUGUUUGAAAAAUGAGAAAAACCUCUCUAAUUAUAGCCAAUUGCAAUAAGGAACGCGUCUGUUCGGACAAUGUUGUGAACGCAUUUGUUCAAACAUGUCUUUCCAGAACGUUGUGCCUUUUGGGAAAAAUAAUGUCUAUUCGGAAGGAACAAGUCCCUUCAGAACGACUUUACCGUUACGCACGAAUUUUUCAAAUAAUUCUGUUGCGCGAAAUUAAUUAACAUUCUGAAUUAAUUUUUAUGAGAAUAUAGGAAAUUAAUUAAUGAGAUUGAUUAAAUAAAUUUUGCCUAAAAAUAUUAUCAAUCAAAUCAUUUGCCAAAGCCAAAGCAGAGCGAACGGCGACAGCGCGAGGAGACACCUUCUUUUAACCCUUUAAGAUCUAAAGGAAGUGUUUCCUGAUAUAAGGACAAUAUUUUUCCUUUCUUCUACCAAUAUGGGAGAAAUGACUUUUCAUCUUCAAAGACUUUCCAUUUGAAAUGACUUUUCAUUUUCCUCCAAAUUGGUUCCCCUACAUUUUCCAAUUUCUCAUUCAUUCUUAUUUCCCAUUCACACAUUGCUAAAACCAAAAAAAAAAAAAAAAUCCAACUAAAAUGGUUGUGGUAUAUAUAUGUAAUAUAUCAGUAUUGCAUAUUAAUGAUCAAAAUCUUACUAACAAACAAUAGAAGAUGGGGAAAAAAAAGGAGAAAAGAAGGAACUUUACCAUAGGAGUACAUAGAACCGCUAGUGGAAGAACCCAAGAUGACAAAUUUGUAUUUGAUAAUGGUAUAUAUUGAUUUAGCUGCAACUCUUCAUAUUCUUUAAUUUAAGAUUAAAAGGGGGAGAACCUUGAUUCAUGUACUUAUUUAAGAACAAUUAUUCAAUUUUAAUUAUUUUACCAAUUACAUAUGACUUAAAAUUCUAGAAAUCCUAAUUGACUCUUGUUCUUCUACAUUACCUUUCUAAUAAAUAACUUGCCAUUCAAAAAAUAAUUAAAAUAUUAUUAUUUAAUAUUUAAUUAUUAGGUGUUUAAUUUAGCUUAGGGGUAAAAUGGUAAUCCAACUUUUCAUCUUUGGAGCUUCCCACUUUUAAUAAUAUAUGAUAUAUAUGUGUGUGUGUGCGCAUGUGCGUGCAUGCUUUCGUGUGUGUGCCCGUGCACGCGUGUGUGCGUGUGUUAUUGUUAUUAUUAUUAUGAUAAUAUAAUAUGAUGACGAUGAUAUGAUAUGAUAUGAUAUGAUGAUGAUGAUAAUUAGAUGAAAUAUACAUAUAGAUUAUAGAUGAUAAAUAUUAUUAAAUUAGAUAUUUCAAUUAGGAAUUAAUCUAAGAAAGUGCAAAAGUCAUUAGCAUUUUUAUAAAAUGAUACAAUUUAAUAUUUAAAUUAAAUAAUUAAAUAUUUUAUAAUAUUUUAAUUAAUAGUAGGGGUAAAACUGUAAUUCAACUUUUAACUCUUUUUGUUCCCACUUAUAGUAAUACUAGUCCUUGGACACGUGCUUUGCACGUGUAUUCCAUACAAUUAUAAACUACACAAACACACACAGUCAAGUGUGAACCUGUGUGAUCCAAACAGAGUCCAUGCCCACACUUCAAAAUUCAAAUAUGCAAAGGAUUUCACGGAUCAAUUACAUCUAUCUGAAUUUGAGUUUUAUUACAACAUAAGCUUUUCAGAAAUACAUAUUAUACUAAAAGAAGUGAAUAUGAUGCUAGCUUAACAAUAAUACAAAAAGUGGAAACUAUUUGUAGCUAAAUCAAUUGGAAUAGAUUUACCUGAAGUAGACUCUUCUUGGAGGAGAAAUCUAACCGAAAAAAGGCAAAUGAAAUAAUGGGACAAACCCACCUUAUGAUGCACUUUAUAGAGUAUUUUAAAGAAUAUGAAAAGAUGGACCAGAAUAAAUAUCACGGAGAAGAUAAAACUACACCUAUGUACAACCAGUAAAAAUCAAGAAAUUGAAUAUUAAUAAGUAUAAAUGAAGAAUGUAAAAAGACUCUAUGAAAGAUGAAAGAAAGAAAAUUUAAUGAGUGAAAUAAUUUAGGGAACCUAUACACAUGUGACAUGACCAUAAUUUAUUGUUGUUACACAAUGUCUUCCUCACCCUCACCAAACGUUUUUGUUCCUCUAAACAUGUAGUGAAGGAGAAGGUGAAAGAGAUAAAUAAAAUUAUGGCAGUAAACAUUUUCAGAAAGCAUUAAUAUAGUAUUUGAUUCAUUGAAUUUGAGGGGCAAAUGAAUUUUGUUAUAUUUUCUUAUGUAAACAAAAGUUAUUGAAAUGAAGAUUUGCUUUUACUUCAAGGAUAAAAUGGUAAACUAACUUUUGAUUCAUUACUAUUAUGGAUAUUAGUUAUUAUUUAUGAAUAAUAACUCAACUUUAUAGGGUUAUUUUGGUAUUUCAACUUUUAACUUUUUUUGCAUUCAUUUUUAGUGAAAUAAAAUUAAUAAUUAAUACUGAUAUUAUUGUAGUAACUCAACUUUAUAGGAUUAUUUUGGUAUUUCAGCUUUUAACUUUUUUGUUCCACUUUUAAUAUAUAUAUAUAUAUAUAUAUUAUAAGAUAAAUUUAAUUAAUUUACCAAGUAUAUAAUUCAUCAUUAGUUUGUGCUAAUUAUAACAGAAGAAAAUCAAAGUUCAACGAUUGCAAGCUUCCAUAGUAAGUAUUUAUUGAAGCAAUUACUUAGCAUUUAAUAUAAUGUUAUGAAUAUAAUUCAUCUGAAAAUUUUUAUUCCUUUGCACGGUUGGAGUAACUGAGGUACACUUAAGGGUCAUUUUAACUGUAUAAAUAUAUUAUGAUAUUUAUUAUAAUUAUUGUGUAUUUAUAUUUUUGUUCAUAAAUAUGUAAUAAUAGUGUUUAAUAGAAAAUACAAUAGUUUUUAUUUAUAUUUAAUGUAUAUUUACAUUUUUGUCCAUAAUUAUUAUGAUAUUAUAAGGAUAUUUUUGUAAUUCAACUUUUGACAUAGAGGCUUCCCACUUAUAAUAUAAUAUGAUAUGAUCCGUCUACUAAUUUUAGUUCAAGUCGUUGGAUGGAUGUCUAUUUAGAUUAAUUCUUCGAAGAAGGAUCCAAAAUAGCUGCAUGUUUUUGAAAACAACUACACUUAACCAACAAGCAGAUCUGACAGUUGCAACUUUUUUUAUUACAAAUUGAUUAUUUAGCAGUUAAAUAUAAUAUAGUGGAUGUCUUUAAGAAAAUAAAACUAUAGAAUAUAGUUCAAUUUAGGUAGUCUCAUUCACACUACUAACCUUAUUUUCUUAUCCACAUGGUCUUUUUUCCACAAUAUUUUUUCUAGAAAUUGAAUAGGUCAAUAACAAAACACUAUAAAUAGAGAGUAGCUUCAAAGCAGAGAAAUUCAUCAAAUACACUUUCUAAAAACAAUAUCAUUUCUUGUAUUAGCAGCCAUGGGAUUCUUGAAAAUCUUUCUUGUUUUCAUCUUUUGUUCUUUCCCAUGGCCUACUAUUCAGAAUGAUCUCGAGACUUAUAUAGUCAAUGUUGAAUCCCCUGAAAGCGUAAUUUCUACUCAAUCAUCGGUAACAGAUUUAGACAACUAUUAUCUUUCUUUUUUGCCUAAAACUACAACAAUCAGCUCAAGUGGAAAUGAAGAGCCUGCUAGCAUGCUCUAUUCCUUUCACAAUGUGAUGAAAGGAUUUUCAGCAAGAUUAACAGCAGCACAAGUGAAGGAAAUGGAGAAGAAACACGGCUUUGUCUCUGCUCAGAAACAGAGGAUUUUCACCUUGCAUACUACUCAUACUCCAAGCUUUCUUGGUUUGCAACAGAACAUGGGCUUGUGGAAGGAUUCCAACUAUGGGAAAGGCGUGAUCAUCGGAGUUAUAGACACUGGAAUUUAUCCUGACCAUCCUUCGUUUAGCGACGGUGGGAUGCCUCCUCCACCUGCUAAGUGGAAAGGAGUUUGUGAGUCCAAUUUCAAAACCAAGUGUAACAACAAGCUCAUUGGAGCCAGGUCUUACCAACUUGCCAAUGGUUCUUUGAUAGAUGAUAAUGGACAUGGUACACACACAGCGGGCACAGCUGCAGGAACCUUUGUGAAUGGUGCUAAUGUAUUUGGGAAUGCUAAUGGCACUGCAGUUGGUGUUGCUCCUCUUGCCCAUAUAGCCAUAUAUAAGGUAUGUGGUUCCGAUGGCAAGUGUUCUGACAGUGAUAUUUUAGCUGCCAUAGAUUCAGCUAUAGAUGAUGGAGUAGAUAUUCUUUCAAUAUCCCUGGGUGGAUCUCCGAGCCCUUUCUAUGACGACAAUAUUGCUCUCGGGGCGUACAGUGCAACAGAAAGAGGCAUUCUUGUAAGUUGUGCUGCAGGCAAUGAUGGUCCUUCUACUGCCUCGGUAGGAAAUGCAGCCCCGUGGAUCCUUACAGUAGGUGCCAGCACAGUUGAUAGAAAGAUAAAAGCUACUGUUAAACUUGGAAAUAGAGAGAAAUAUGAAGGAGAAUCUGCUUAUCGUCCAAAGAUUUCCAACUCAACAUUCUUCACUCUAUUUGAUGCUGCAAAAAAUGCAAGUGAAACUCCUUAUUGCAAACCAGGGUCACUCACUGACCCUGCUAUAAGAGGAAAGAUAGUAUUAUGUCUACAAGAUGAUGUCGUUUCCAAUAUUGAUAAAGGACAAGCUGUGAAGGAUGCUGGAGGUGUUGGCAUGAUUAUCAUUAACCAGCCAAGUUACGGUGCCACUAAAUCAGCUGAUGCUCAUGUUCUUCCAGCAAUGGAUGUUUCAGCUGCAGAUGGAAAAAAAAUCCUUUCUUAUAUGAACUCAACAUCGAACCCUGUCGCUACAAUCACAUUCCAAGGAACAGUAAUUGGAGAUAAAAAUGCUCCCAUAGUAGCUGCAUUUUCUUCUCGCGGACCAAGUGAAGCUAGUCCUGGCAUCUUGAAACCUGACAUAAUCGGUCCUGGUGUUAAUAUCCUUGCUGCUUGGCCCAUCUCUGUGGAUGACAACAGAAACACCAAAUCCAGAUUCAAUAUUAUAUCAGGCACCUCAAUGUCUUGCCCUCACCUUAGUG